UACGUAGGGUGCAAGCGUUGUCCGGAAUUAUUGGGCGUAAAGGGUGCGUAGGCGGCGCGGUAAGUCGGGUGUGAAAUCUCGGAGCUUAACUCCGAAACUGCAUUCGAUACUGCCGUGCUUGAGGACUGGAGAGGAGACUGGAAUUUACGGUGUAGCGGUGAAAUGCGUAGAGAUCAUGAGGAAGACCAGUGGCGAAGGCGGGUCUCUGGACAGUUCCUGACACUGAGACACGAAGGCCAGGGGAGCAAACGGG
rnacentral:rRNA from 1 species